rnacentral:rRNA from 2 species
CAAUGACUCUCGGCAACGGAUAUCUCGGCUCACGCAUCGAUGAAGAACGUAGCAAAAUGCGAUACUUGGUGUGAAUUGCAGAAUCCCGUGAACCAUCGAGUUUUUGAACGCAAGUUGCGCCCGAAGCCUUUUGGUUGAGGGCACGUCUGCCUGGGCGUCACAC